UACGUAGGUGGCAAGCGUUGUCCGGAAUGACUGGGCGUAAAGGGAGCGUAGGCGGCGCAGCAAGUUAGGAGUGAAAUCCCGGGGCUUAACCCCGGAACUGCUUUUAAAACUGCUGUGCUUGAGUGAUGGAGAGGAAAGCGGAAUUCCUAGUGUAGCGGUGGAAUGCGUAGAUAUUAGGAGGAACACCAGAGGCGAAGGCGGCUUUCUGGACAUUAACUGACGCUGAGGCUCGAAAGCGUGGGGAGCAA
rnacentral:rRNA from 1 species